UUUCUAGCAGGAUGGGGUCCGUGGCUCUAUCACCAUGCAGCCGUCCCCGAAAUGCACUUGCCCAACAGGGAAGUUGAUCUACAUUUCCUGACCGCAGCUAGAUCAUCUUACUUCCAGUUUCCAUUAAGCUAUCCACUGGCAAGUGCUUCUAGCAAGUGACUUUCAGGACAUGGUAGUAUAAAUUACAGAGGAAAAUAGUGGAAGCAUGUGUGAUGGAUCUCUCUAGUGGCUAGUUCAAGUAGAAGAGAACUGUAUACUACUGCUGCUUUCAUGGCGAGACUCCUACAGCUCAAGUGGUGGAGGCUUGUGUGCUGGUGUCCAAGUAGCACCUUGAUGAGGAUGAUGGGGAGAGGUUAUUGCUCAGGCCCACAGAGGAUGGGUUAGGAAUUGCUCAGAACUUUCCCCUGGCUCGAUGGGCAAACCAAAGGAUGGAGGAGAGCAGUGACUCCCAUAAGGUCACCCACUGAGCCAGAUGGCAGAGCCAAGGC